rnacentral:rRNA from 1 species
GUUUGAUCCUGGCUCAGAACGAACGCUGGCGGCAGGCCUAACACAUGCAAGUCGAGCGAGAUCUUCGGAUCUAGCGGCGGACGGGUUAGUAACGCGUGGGAACGUACCCAAAGGUAGGGAAUAGCCACUGGAAACGGUGAGUAAUACCCUAUGUGCUUCGGGGGAAAGAUUUAUCGCCUUUGGAUCGGCCCGCGUUAGAUUAGAUAGUUGGUGGGGUAACGGCCUACCAAGUCUACGAUCUAUAGCUGGUUUUAGAGGAUGAUCAGCAACACUGGGACUGAGACACGGCCCAGACUCUACGGGAGGCAGCAGUGGGGAAUCUUGGACAAUGGGGGCAACCCUGAUCCAGCCAUGCCGCGUGAGUGAUGAAGGCCCUAGGGUCGUAAAGCUCUUUCGCCUGUGAAGAUAAUGACUGUAGCAGGUAAAGAAACCCCGGCUAACUCCGUGCCAGCAGCCGCGGUAAUACGGAGGGGGUUAGCGUUGUUCGGAAUUACUGGGCGUAAAGCGCGCGUAGGCGGACUGGAAAGUUGGGGGUGAAAUCCCAGGGCUCAACCCUGGAACUGCCUCCAAAACUAUCAGUCUAGAGUUCGAGAGAGGUGAGUGGAAUUCCGAGUGUAGAGGUGAAAUUCGUAGAUAUUCGGAGGAACACCAGUGCGAAGCGCUCACUGCUCGAUACUGACGCUGA